rnacentral:lncRNA from 1 species
CUCCACUCAACUCACAAUGAAAGACUGACAAAUGUGCUCCCCGUAGUAUAAAACCACCUCAGAGCUGUGGAUAUGAUGUCCCCUUCUGCUUGCAAAAGCCUGCUCAAUAUGGAACAGCCACACCAUGAGGGCUGUGGGUUGAACUGAUCGCAGGUGAUUUGGAACCAGUCUUCCAUGUGGCAGGUGGCUCCAGCAGUGAAAGGGCUAUAAAGAAGAUAUUUGGAGACCUCUCUACCUUUGCUUCUCACCACCUGUUUGUGCAAUAACAACGGAACAGCAACUACAGCCUUGGAGUCAAAAAACAGAACGAGAAUUCAGGAGGGAAUUACAGGGCCUCAUCUAGGAAGGACAGGAGAACCAGAUGAACUUCAAGCCCUUCCUGCAGUGCGUUUAAUGAAGAAGUGCUCAUUAAGCAGAGCGAUGAGGACUCAGAACUAAUAUCAGAGUGGUAGAGAUGAUACAUCUGGAAAAAGUUUUGUGGAAAAGCCAUAAUAGAAAAUAUUUUGAAGAGGCUUCCCAGUUCUUAACUGGAGCAAACUGG